ACAAACUCUGAGAGUCUUCUGCUGUGUUUAUCACAGACAGAGAGGGAACCAUCAACUCAGUGGGUCUCAGAGAAGAGGAAGAGAAGAGAGGGAAGUCUUUGUACUGCUUUUGACCAGAGAACUGAGGUUGUCUUAAAAAGCGUUUAUGAAAACAUAUCUCUUUUAAGUUGCUCCUGUUUAAGAAGGCUGUGGCUUAUCCAUGAGAAAGGAUAAGCAUUCUCCUGUGGUUGAUAUUUAUGGGAAUGCAAGGUGACAGGGAGCCAGCAAGACCUUGCUCUUCAGGGUCUUUAUGUGAAAUAAGCCAUCAUCAUCUGACUGACAUGGAUUGAAGAUUGCAGAACAUAUCA